AAAGACAUUAAGUUGGAUCCAGCGCGGCGGAGGAUCCCUCUCCCUCUCCCCUCUCCUCUCUCUCCCCUCUCUCUCUCUCACUCCCUCUCUCUUUUUUUUUUUUUUUUUAAUUUCCCCCCUUUUUCCCUCUCUUAAAUCUCCCGGCGUCCAGCUAAGCAUGAACUCCAGAGGCAGACCCCGCCGGAGAGGACUGAGCUACCGUGGAAAAUGACCAGAAAUCUACAAUCUGAGAAAACCCAUCCAUCAUCUUCAGGCAGUCUUCCAAUCUGUUAACUUUAGCUGCUACUAAUAAGUGUCUCAGUCCAGGAAAAGCAAUUAUUACGAUGUUUCACAGAAUAGCUUCCAGAUAGCAUAUGAUGCAAACUGCUUUUGGCAACAUUUCUUCUACGGAGGCAGUCUUUUCUUUUUUUUUUUUUCCUUCAGUGAGCAACUUUACCAAAGCCAACGUGAUAAAAACAGAGGUAGAGGGGCAGAGCUGUGGGAAAUGAGGACUGACCGUAGCUGCUGUGCCCGUUUACACCUUCUGGUCACAGAUUUCUAUGCUUUGUAAAACCUUUCUUAGGCAUUUUAUCAGUGUGCAGACUCCUUGAGUAAGAAUGAGAGAUAUUACAUGUGAUGGAGAUGUGGUCACUGAUGUGCUACAUCACACAGGGCCAAAUCAGGCACCCUGUUUUGACUGCAGGUUGGCUUCCAGAAAGCAAUAGUUCAUCUACUAUUUAACGUACAUAAUAUGAUACCAAACAAGCCCAAAGUCAAUGCAUAGAAUCAUAGAAUUGCCCAAAACGUUAUUUGGUAACUCAGGUGGACAUCCUGCAGAUGUAGACAGGUUGGUGGAAGAACUUAACUGAGCUCCAAAAACAAAGAGCUUCUCCUUAGAGAAGGGGAAAACCAAAUGAGGAUAGUGUCAAAGGAGCAGUGUAUGGUUUAUCUGGGACUACCUCCACCGUCACCGGUAAUGAGGGAUCUCUGGUGAGGGAUUGAGGAGGAAAAAUUGACAACAAACACAAAUUGGCAAAACUCUGCUUUAGGACCUUAGAGCCAACGCGUUUAGGAUCAGUCAGAUUAUCACAUGGUGGCACCUGGCCAAGCCUCUCCGACUAGUUUUUAUUGAAAGUUCCUCGCUACUAGCUCCUAGCUGUUCUUCAGGGAACAUCUGUAAGCAGAUGUUAGCUCACAAGUAACUUUGGAAUCAAUUCAGUCUGCCCCUGCCAGGCUCCUCGAUCUUGAUGGCUGUUGUUAGCAGAUGAUAUUCAGCGUGCGUCCAGACACCCAUCCACCUCAUCAGCCUGAAUGACUUGUCUUUUCAAUUCCACUUUCAUAGCGUAUUAUAGAUCGUCUUGGCGUGUUUGGAUUUCUGAUUGCAGACUUGCUUUCUGAACCUUGAAGAAUCUGACACUAAGAGGGAAGCACGCUCUGGAUUUCUUCGGAAAAUUUCAGAUUAAUGUGCUAGAUCUUGUUGCAUAAUAUGUAAUCCAAGCCCAGACACCCACUACUUUGCAAGCAAAAUUUUGGUCUUGAAUCCCAUUGUUGUUUGCUAGAAGAAAUGAGCUCAAUGGGACCAUGGUAUGGUAAUAAUCUUUGUUUGGCAUUUGGUUCUUGAUUAAGGAGAUACAUAUACUGGAAAGUUAGAAACUAUAAUUUGCCCAGCUUAAAUGAAGCUGUUUGGUGUAUCAAGGUACUUGCUUUAAAUCCUCCAAGCUGUUUUGUCCAGCAGAUGUGCACACACACAGACACAUGUAUUCUUAAAAUAUGUGUACACAUUCAUCCUAUUAUAUAUGCAUUCCUUACAUAUAUUAUUUUCAUAUAAUUUGUACAUCAUUAUUCCUUAUAAAUAUGUAAUAUCCCUUCUUAUAUAUUCAUCCAUAUACACACACACACAUUCCUCCUCAGUAUGUCCUCUUGCCUUUAAUUGUUGAAGACUGAUGGAUGCCAGCAAACAAUCUGGGUUUGCUGUCUAACAUGAGGGUAAGAUACAUUGCUGGAAGGUCAGCAGGUGGAGUUUGGGGGUUCCUGGCCCCCUGGACACCCUAAAAAUAAGUGCUUGGAAAGGUUGAUCUUGCCAUCAGGCUAUAGGGAGGUCUAUGUAGCACUUACAGGAACUCCAACAGUCAGACAAUUUCAAGCCUAGAAAUUAUCAUAUCCUAGUGAACUGAAAAAGCGCUACUUCUUAAUGUGUAUUAUAGCAGAACAUUCUUUUAAUUAAAUAUGUAAAUUAAAUGUGCAUGAGCAACAAAUUUCAAGUUCAAAGUCAUGCUUUGCCAUUGGUUUAGCACCAGAAAUCAUCACCGUUUUUCUAGAGACAUCCGUUUGCAGUGAGAGUGACUCUGGUUUUUCUGCUAUCACCCUCUUAUGUUAUGUUACAGCAAUAUGCUCAGCCUGCAAAGUAAAGACCAUUAAAAAGCAUUUCUUUUUAUUUUUUUAAUUUCUUUUUUUUAGAAGACACACUUGUUGCCUAAAUCUUUUCAGACCUAUCACACCGUUUAUAUGCACAACAGGUCUGUGACAGUUCUAUAUCUUUUCCAAAAACAAAAAGUCAGAGGGAAAAAAAUAAGAGUUCUUAUGUCCAAGGGUGUGAAAAUUACUCUGGUCUAGAUGCCACCAAAGCAUGAGUGUAACAGUACAUAUUUAAAAAGAAAUAAAUUACUAGAUGUAGAAUACAAUGUUCCAGACAUACCAGAUGUAUUCAAAUUCAUACAAGCCUUUUAUCUGAGUAAUUUACCUUCUUGAGAGGUGUGAGAAAAUGGGUGACAUUUUUUUCAGGUUUGCACUUUGCAACUUAUUGAGGUUCCCAAAUUUUCCUACAUUGCUCCUUUGUGCUCACUGGGUUUGUCAGAAGAGAUGUGUGAAUGAAAAACCGAUCUGAAUUCCCCAUUGCUUUUGGGGCUUGAUUCAAAGAGGAUUGGUGACCAUAGAAGGAACUCACCCAAGGCUUCCAGGACUUCUAGUCGCAUCAUUAAUGAAGAUCUUUUGAACGCUUUGGUCUUCUCCUUCCAUAUGAAGAGAAAUAAUGAUUCUGCCUUUGAAAAAGGAUUUGAAAUUGCCAGAGAUGUACAUAUUAAUCACUGUUAUACCUGCUUACAAGCAGUCAGAAAUGAAAUAGCAUUUAACAGAAGGACUGCGUUUUAUUAUAUUUACAACAAUGGAACUGGAAUAUAACCUUUUUAUUUAAAAAUCAAGGCGCAGAUUAAGUUUUGAUUGCAGUAUUUUGUACUGAAAAUAAGAAUAAUGGAAGCAAUUAAGUAUUCACAGUCCUGCUCUCACACAAACACCUUCCAUGGUGAGCCUGUUUAUGCAACUGAGUGUGCCAUACAAUUGUUUUUAUUACCUUCUUAUAAAACAGCCUGUAUAAAACACUUUUUUUUGAUUGUUUCUUUGUGUAUUGUUGAGCGUGUUUGCAUUCUAAAGGGUUUUGCCUCAUUAAAGCAAUUACCGUAAA